CGGGCAUAGCAAUAUGUCAGCGGCAGACGGGUGAGUAACGCGUGGGAACGUACCUUUUGGUUCGGAACAACUGAGGGAAACUUCAGCUAAUACCGGAUAAGCCCUUACGGGGAAAGAUUUAUCGCCGAAAGAUCGGCCCGCGUCUGAUUAGCUAGUUGGUGAGGUAAUGGCUCACCAAGGCGACGAUCAGUAGCUGGUCUGAGAGGAUGAUCAGCCACAUUGGGACUGAGACACGGCCCAAACUCCUACGGGAGGCAGCAGUGGGGAAUAUUGGACAAUGGGCGCAAGCCUGAUCCAGCCAUGCCGCGUGAGUGAUGAAGGCCCUAGGGUUGUAAAGCUCUUUUGUGCGGGAAGAUAAUGACGGUACCGCAAGAAUAAGCCCCGGCUAACUUCGUGCCAGCAGCCGCGGUAAUACGAAGGGGGCUAGCGUUGCUCGGAAUCACUGGGCGUAAAGGGUGCGUAGGCGGGUCUUUAAGUCAGGGGUGAAAUCCUGGAGCUCAACUCCAGAACUGCCUUUGAUACUGAAGAUCUUGAGUUCGGGAGAGGUGAGUGGAACUGCGAGUGUAGAGGUGAAAUUCGUAGAUAUUCGCAAGAACACCAGUGGCGAAGGCGGCUCACUGGCCCGAUACUGACGCUGAGGCACGAAAGCGUGGGGGAGCAAACAGGAUUAUAUACCCUGGUAGUCCACGCUGUAAACGAUGAAUGCCAGCCGUUAGUGGGUUUACUCACUAGUGGCGCAGCUAACGCUUUAAGCAUUCCGCCUGGGGAGUACGGUCGCAAGAUUAAAACUCAAAGGAAUUGACGGGGGCCCGCACAAGCGGUGGAGCAUGUGGUUUAAUUCGACGCAACGCGCAGAACCUUACCAGCCCUUGACAUCCCGGUCGCGGACUCCAGAGACGGAGUUCUUCAGUUCGGCUGGACCGGAGACAGGUGCUGCAU
rnacentral:rRNA from 1 species